UACGGAGGAUGCAAGCGUUAAUCGGAAUUACUGGGCGUAAAGCGCACGCAGGUGGCUGAGUCAGUCGAUUGUGAAAGCCCUGGGCUUAACCUGGGAAUUGCAGUUGAAACUACAGGGCUAGAAUCUGGCAGAGGGGGGGUGGAAUUCCACGUGUAGCAGUGAAAUGCGUAGAGAUGUGGAGGAACACCGGAUGGCGCAAGGCAGCCCCCUGGGACGUGA
rnacentral:rRNA from 1 species